rnacentral:rRNA from 1 species
CUACGGGGUGCUGCAGUGGGGAAUAUUGGGCAAUGGAGGAAACUCUGACCCAGCGACGCCGCGUGAGGGAUGAAGGCCUUCGGGUUGUAAACCUCUUUCAGUAGGGAAGAAGCGAAAGUGACGGUACCUACAGAAGAAGCACCGGCUAACUAUGUGCCAGCAGCCGCGGUAAUACAUAGGGUGCAAGCGUUGUCCGGAAUUAUUGGGCGUAAAGAGCUCGUAGGUGGUUCGAUACGUCGGAUGUGAAAAUCAGGGGCUCAACCCCUGACCUGCAUUCGAUACGGUCGAGCUGGAGUUUGGUAGGGGAGACUGGAAUUCCUGGUGUAGCGGUGGAAUGCGCAGAUAUCAGGAGGAACACCGAUGGCGAAGGCAGGUCUCUGGGCCAAUACUGACACUGAGGAGCGAAAGCGUGGGGAGCGAACAGGAUUAGAUACCCUGGUAGUC